rnacentral:rRNA from 1 species
UAGGGAAUCUUCCGCAAUGGACGAAAGUCUGACGGAGCAACGCCGCGUGAGUGAUGAAGGUUUUUGGAUCGUAAAACUCUGUUGUUAGGGAAGAACAAGUACCGUUCGAAUAGGGCGGUACCUUGACGGUACCUAACCAGAAAGCCACGGCUAACUACGUG